GGGCCCGCACAAGCGGAGGAACAUGUGGUUUAAUUCGAUGAUACGCGAGGAACCUUACCCGGGCUUGAAAUGCAGAGGAAUAACGUGGAAACAUGUUAGUCAGCAAUGAUCUCUGUGUAGGUGCUGCAUGGUUGUCGUCAGCUCGUGCCGUGAGGUGUCGGCUUAAGUGCCAUAACGAGCGCAACCCUUAUCGAUAGUUACUAACAGGUUAAGCUGAGGACUCUAUUGAGACUGCCACCGUAAGGUGUGAGGAAGGUGGGGAUGACGUCAAAUCAGCACGGCCCUUACGUCCGGGGCGACACACGUGUUACAAUGGGGGGUACAGAGGGUUGCUACCUAGUGAUAGGAUGCUAAUCUCAUAAAGCCUCUCUCAGUUCGGAUUGGAGUCUGCAACUCGACUCCAUGAAGCUGGAUUCGCUAGUAAUCGCGCAUCAGCCAUGGCGCGGUGAAUACGUUCCCGGGCCUU
rnacentral:rRNA from 1 species